rnacentral:rRNA from 1 species
UACGAAGGUCCCAAGCGUUAUUCGGUAUUACUGGGCUUAAAGAGUUCGUAGGCGGUCUUGUAGGUGAGGUGUGAAAGCCCUCAGCUUAACCGAGGAAUUGCGCUUCAAACCACAAGGCUUGAGGGAGGUAGGGGUAUGCGGAACAGAUGGUGGAGCGGUGAAAUGCGUUGAUAUCAUCUGGAACACCGGUGGCGAAAGCGGCAUACUGGACCUUUUCUGACGCUGAGGAACGAAAGCUAGGGUAGCGAACGGG